UACAGAGGUCCCGAGCGUUGUUCGGAUUCACUGGGCGUAAAGGGUGCGUAGGUGGUCGUGUAAGUCUGACGUGAAAUCUCCGAGCUUAACUCGGAAAUGGCGUUGGAUACUAUUCGGCUGGAGGGUUGGAAGGGGGACUGGAAUUCUCGGUGUAGCAGUGAAAUGCGUAGUUAUCGAGAGGAACACCGGUGGCGAAGGCGAGUCCCUGGACAAUUCCUGACACUGAGGCACGAAAGCUAGGGGAGCAAACAGG
rnacentral:rRNA from 1 species